rnacentral:rRNA from 1 species
AGUGAACGCUGGCGGUAGGCCUAACACAUGCAAGUCGAACGGCAGCACAGUAAGAGCUUGCUCUUACGGGUGGCGAGUGGCGGACGGGUGAGGAAUACAUCGGAAUCUACUUUUUCGCGGGGGAUAACGUAGGGAAACUUACGCUAAUACCGCAUACGACCUACGGGUGAAAGCAGGGGAUCUUCGGACCUUGCGCGAUUGAAUGAGCCGAUGUCGGAUUAGCUAGUUGGCGGGGUAAAGGCCCACCAAGGCGACGAUCCGUAGCUGGUCUGAGAGGAUGAUCAGCCACACUGGAACUGAGACACGGUCCAGACUCCUACGGGAGGCAGCAGUGGGGAGUAGUGGACAAUGGGCGCAAGCCUGGUCCGACCAUACCGCGUGGGUGGAGAAGGCCUUCGGGUUGUAGAGCCCUUUUGUUGUGAAAGAAAAGCAGCGGGUUAAUACCCCGCUGUUCUGACGGUACCCAAAGAAUAAGCACCGGCUAACUUCGUG